AUUGAACGCUGGCGGCAGGCCUAACACAUGCAAGUCGAACGAGUGGCGGACGGGUGAGUAAUGUCUGGGAAACUGCCUGAUGGAGGGGGAUAACUACUGGAAACGGUAGCUAAUACCGCAUACCCACAGAUGUGCCCAGAUGGGAUUGGCUAGUGGGUGGGGUAACGGCUCACCAAGGCGACGAGCCCUAGCUGGUCUGAGUGGAUGACCAGCCACACGGGAACUGAGACACGGUCCAGACUCCGACGGGAGGCCGCAGUGGGGAAUAUUGCACAAUGGGCGCAAGCCUGAUGCAGCCAUGCCGCGGGUGUGAAGAAGGCCUUCGGGUUGUAAAGUACUUUCAGCGGGGAGGCGUUACCCGCAGAAGAAGCACCGGCUAACUCCGUGCCAGCAGCCGCGGUAAUAC
rnacentral:rRNA from 1 species